GGAUGUGAGGGUCACCUGAUGGCAGCAUCUGUGGCUCUAUUCAGCACCAGGCUUGACCUGGCUGAUCUAGCUGGCGGGCUGGCCGGGUGUCCCCGUCCUCUCUCACUGCCCAUGAGUGCUCACUCCCCGAAGCUGUUGCAUGCUCAACAGAAGAGAAGGCCUGCAGGAACCUUCCCCAAAUAGUGCUGGAUGGCUCUUGGGUAAAGGACAUUUGAGCGGGUGCACUUUCCCACUGGAACCUCCACCCAGUUCUCCAUGAGAUCCCAUCACAACUCCAAUGGUAUUUUUUUUCAUAGUACAAAGCUAUAGGCACCACA
rnacentral:snRNA from 1 species